rnacentral:rRNA from 1 species
UACGGGGGGGGCAAGCGUUGUUCGGAAUUACUGGGCGUAAAGGGCUCGUAGGCGGCCAACUAAGUCAGACGUGAAGUCCCUCGGCUUAACCGGGGAACUGCGUCUGAUACUGGAUGGCUUGAGUUUGGGAGAGGGAUGCGGAAUUCCAGGUGUAGCGGUGAAAUGCGUAGAUAUCUGGAGGAACACCGGUGGCGAAGGCGGCAUCCUGGACCAACACUGACACUGAGGAGCGAAAGCCAGGGGAGCAAACGGG